CCUACGGGAGGCAGCAGUGGGGAAUUUUGGUACAAUGGGCGAAAGCCUGAUCCAGCAAUGCCGCGUGAGUGAAGAAGGCCUUCGGGUUGUAAAGCUCUUUUGUCAGGGAAGAAACGGUGAGAGCUAAUAUCUCUUGCUAAUGACGGUACCUGAAGAAUAAGCACCGGCUAACUACGUGCCAGCAGCCGCGGUAAUACGUAGGGUGCAAGCGUUAAUCGGAAUUACUGGGCGUAAAGCGUGCGCAGGCGGUUUUGUAAGUCUGUCGUGAAAUCCCCGGGCUCAACCUGGGAAUUGCG
rnacentral:rRNA from 1 species